GUAGGGGGCUAGCGUUGCUCGGAAUCACUGGGCGUAAAGGGUGCGUAGGCGGGUCUUUAAGUCAGGGGUGAAAUCCUGGAGCUCAACUCCAGAACUGUCUUUGAUACUGAAGAUCUUGAGUUCGGGAGAGGUGAGUGGAACUGCGAGUGUAGAGGUGAAAUUCGUAGAUAUUAGAAGGAACACCAGUGGCGAAGGCGACUUGCUGGGCCAUUACUGACGCUGAGGCACGAAAGCGUGGGGAGCAAAUAGGAUUAGAUACCCUAGUAGUCCACGCCGUAAACGAUGGAUACUAAGUGUCGGAGUUAUUCGGUGCUGAAGUUAACACAUUAAGUAUCCCACCUGAGUAGU
rnacentral:rRNA from 1 species